UACGGGGGGGGCAAGCGUUGUUCGGAAUUACUGGGCGUAAAGGGCGCGUAGGCGGUCUGCUAAGUUGGAUGUGAAAACUCUGGGCUUAACCCAGAGCCUGCAUUCAAUACUGACAGGCUAGAGUUCUGGAGGGGAUAGCGGAAUUCCUGGUGUAGCGGUGAAAUGCGUAGAUAUCAGGAGGAACACCGGUGGCGAAGGCGGGUCUCUGGGCCGAUACUGACGCUGAGGAGCGAAAGCGUGGGGAGCGAACAGG
rnacentral:rRNA from 1 species